GGCACGAGGUGUAGUGGGUUAUCACGCUGGCUUAGCACGUAACUUGCGAGAGGAGUCCGGUUCGAUCCCCGCAUGUCA
rnacentral:tRNA from 1 species